rnacentral:misc_RNA from 1 species
GAUGAAGAACGCAGCGAAAUGCGAUACGUAAUGUGAAUUGCAGAAUUCAGUGAAUCAUCGAGUCUUUGAACGCACAUUGCGCCCCCUGGUAUUCUGGCGGGCAUGCCUGUCCGAGCGUCAUUUCAACCCUCAAGCCCCCGGGCUUGGUGUUGGGGAUCGGCGAGCCUCCGCGCCCGCCGUCCCCUAAAUCUAGUGGCGGUCUCGCUGUAGCUUCCUCUGCGUAGUAGCACACCUCGCACUGGGAAACAGCGCGGCCACGCCGUUAAACCCCCAACUUCUGAACGUUUGACCUCGGAUCAGGUAGGAAUACCCGCUGAACUUAAGCAUAUCAAUAAGCGGAGGA